rnacentral:ncRNA from 1 species
GCAUAACAGGUCUGUGGUUGAAAGUCGAUGCCAGUCGCAGGCGAAGCGAUCCACGUAACCCGUUCAAGGAACGGUGAGCAUGGUGCGGUUUAGAAGUAAGUCCUGCCGGGAAAACCGAGAGGGUGAGUCGUGAGAGGCAGUUGCCGGGUAGCAAAAACUCCAGCAGGCGGGUGUGGGGUCAAAGACCAGGUCAGCUGUUUAUGC